AUUUAAUAAAAUAACAUAUGCUCUUGUUACCAAAUUCCAGAUUUCCAUGCAGGUUUUUUUAACAAACUCCUUUUAGGAUAGAAAAGUUUGUCAGAGAUGAAACGAAAUAAAAUGAAACACGUACGUGAAAUCCAACAAAACUGUACUAGCUCUCAAGAUGAUGAUGACCGAUGACUAAAUGAACUCUGAGUACUAUUAUAUGAAAUGAUCGAGUAUACGUUCGAACAUUUUCUAUCUAUUUCAACUUCAUUUUUAUCGAGCCACUCCUUAAUCCUGGCAACUGCCUUGACUACGUUAAUAUGCUAAUUCUGUAUAAUACAAGGAACUGUCUCGAUACCAGAGUAUACUACGACUUAUGUGACAAAAAAAUGUAUACAUAUUGAAGGGGAUCUACAUCAAAGCCUUGCAACGGAUUUUAAAGAUACAUAGAAGAAGGGAACGUGUAGUAACAAUUUUUGUUUGUUUGUAUCUAUGCAGACUACUAAAAGCUGAAUGCAUAUUUUUGAAUAUUGAUAAAAUAAACGUUCAUCUGGACACACGUCUUUUAAACUGGAAAGGGAAUACAAUAACAAAGUUAGACGAUGAACUAGUGAUGCUAAGAACGGCGUAGGAUAGUAAAUAGAUGAGCAACGAUUGGUAUUUUUGUGCUCGUGGUUAAAUAAACGUCCAGAUAGAACAACAGGUUAAAAUUAUGAAAGCAUUGUUAAUGUUACGCAAAUCCCAGUGGUUGCUAGUCAGUCAUUAAACUGAGAAGCAUCAUGAAUGAUAAGACUACUAAUUAAAUAACAAUAGUAGAUAACUCCGAGUCAGUACCAACACAGUUUAAAAAUUAUACACGAGCUAUAAGUCAAUCUUGAAACAAUGAGUCGGUCACAUUUAUAAUUUCAAGUGUGAGCCUG